CCUGCCUGGCAGGCUGCAAACCUACUGCAUCUGUGGAGACAGUUUCAAUGACAGGCUAUGUAUAGUGAACAGCUGCCUCUGUUGGACACAAUGUACAAAAGAACCCUUGCCCUGGGAUCACAAACACUGAACACCUGGUAAUAUAUCCAUCAACCCCUGAUGAUUAAGCCCCUGCAAUGAGUUUUGCGGCCUGUCUGACUCAAAAAAUGAGUCCUGGAACUGUUGGAAGACUCAACUGUUCUACUCAGAAGAUGUUGGUCAGCUGCAGAGACAGUUUCUAAGUUACCUAUUCAGACACUUGGCCUCUGCUACCACUUUAGAAGAAUAUGUUACACAAAAUGAAGUUCAUCGUUGAAAGUCAAAAAGAACGAGAAUAUGAACCUGUGGAAGAAUGUUUGCUAAGUACUAAAGAAAAAUGUGUAGAUCUUCUUACAUGAAGAAAUUCUCCAAGUCUGUGCUCUUGUAUUAAUUACCUAUAGCAUUGGCACACACUUUACUACUGCAUGUAAAAGUAAAAGAUAAAGCCAGUUCACAA